UCCUCGCCGUUCGACGCGGCGCUGGCGGCGCUGCAGGGCCGGAUGGGCUACGCGUUCCGGUCCCCGGACCUGCUCCGCCGCGCGAUGACGCACGCCUCCUACUCGCGCGAGAACGGCCGGGCGCUGGCCGUGCUCGGCCUGGCCGCGGCGGAGUCGGCCGCCGCGCUGCGGGCCCUCGCCGCCGACCGCGACGCGCCGGCCUCCGCCGUCUCCCGCGCCGCGCGCGACGCCGCGGGGGAGCCCGCCUGCGCCGCGGCGGGCGCCCGCGCGGGCAUCCCGGGCGUCGUGCGCGUCGCCGGGUCCACCAAGGCCUCGGCCCCGCCCGUGGUCUGCGGCGCCCUCCGCGCGCUCCUCGGCGCCGUCGCCGUCGACAACGGCACCGCCGCCGCCGCCGCCGAGGUCUUCUGGCGCCUCCACGUCAUCACCGCCGCCGCCAUGUGA
rnacentral:rRNA from 1 species